CCAUUUUCUACCGCUUAUUCCAUUUUGGGGUCGCGGGGGGCGCUGGCCCUAUCUCAGCUACAAUCGGGCGGAAGGCAGGGUACACCCUGGACAAGUCGCCACCUCAUCGCAGGGCCAACACAGAUAGACAGACAACAUUCACCCUCACAUUCACACACUAGGGCCAAUUUAGUGUUGCCAAUCAACCUGUCCCCAGGUGCAUGUGUUUGGAAGUGGGAGGAAGCCCGAGUACCCGGAGGGAACCCACGCAUUCACGGGGAGAACAUGCAAACUCCGCACAGAAAGAUCCCGAGCCUGGAUUUGAACCCAGGACUGCAGGAACUUCGUAUUGUGAGGCAGACGCACUAACCCCUCUGUCACCGUGAAGCCUAUGUAUAUAUAUUUAUAUAUAUAUGUAUUUAUAUGUGUAUAUAUUAGGGCUGGGGGAUACAUCGAUAAAUGCGAUACAUCGCGGGUUUAACUCUGUGCGAUAUAGGAAAUGAUUACUUGUGUAUCGUAAUAUUCGAGUAUAUGUUCUCACGCAGUUGUUUUUAGCUGCGGACAUUACACUUCUGGCUCUCCUCGCUCUUUCCUGUGUCUCCUUCUCACAGACAAGCAGGCGCACAUUCUUACAUACGUCACAUACUGUCACGUCAUACGUCACAUACGUAUACGCCCUCGCCCAGCAGAGAGGUAGCGGCGUGGCUAACGUUAGCUGUGAUGUUAGCGGGUUGUUGCGAGAGAAAGAAGGGGCGAAUCUCGUAACAAAUGAAGGAAGAAUUAAUUCCCAAGAAAAACAGCACUGGGUCCAUCGUCUGGCGGUGGUUCGGCUUCAAGCAGGAAUAUGUCGAAAAUACAACUCUGAUUUGUCAUGUGUGGGGCACAAGCAUUGCUACCAAAAGUAGCAUUACUGCUAAUAUGUAGCAUCAUUUGAAUAGUCACCUGCUAAUAACUACAAUAAAUACAGUUUUGGUAAAUUGACUUAGUUGUGAUUUCCUUCUCUGCAUGAAAGUUUAAUAUUAGCAUAUAUUAGUGCAGUAUGAACAAGAAUGUUUUUAUGUCGACAUAUAGAAUCACCAUACUGGACGCCGAGAUGAGCAGUCGCAUUUUUUCCGCUCCCGCUCGGGAAUACAAUCAACCACUAGGAUGAUACCACACUUCCUCAUUUUUCUACUGUGGAUCAUGGAUUUAUAUUUGAAACCACCACGGAGACAAUACCCUCUUGAAAAUGAGAGUCGUGAAUGCGAAAUGGACAAUCACUGCGAAUUCUACCUCCUCGGUAACCCAUCGGCGAAGCAACUGGGCUUCGGAGGUAACGUGAUCCACUCAUGCCUCACAGCGGAUUGGAACAGAGGAAACAAGCCACUGACUGGAAGGAUAGACUGAAGAUCUACAAUUUUACUAUUAUUUUUACUCUCAGGAGACACUGGACUAAACCCUGGACCAAUAACCACCCGGUUAAUGUUAUCUCGCCUGGCGAAGCCUAGCAAUGUUGUUGCCAACGACGCCGAGGAAGCUAGUGUAGCUGCGGUACCUCGUCGGAGCUAUGCUAAAAACAUUAGCUCUCCACCUACGCCAGCCCUCAUUUGUUCAUCACCACACAAGCUCACCUGCGUUUCAGCGGUUGGCGGCACGACAGAGGACUUCACCCCGAACAUCGGUGCGGUUGGCGGCCCAGAGACGGAGGAAGACAGCUCAGACACCGGUGAGGACUGCGGCUCGGCGGCGGAUGGCUUAAUGGCUUUUGACGACACCCUGGCCGCCAUUAAAGUCGGCAGUGCGGAGGUCCUCCUAACCUCUCCCGAAACCCUGAGGGUCAUCGCCGCGUCACCUGGACCCCCCACGGCCUACACAGUACUUCUUCCCAACGGACUCUGAUGUUCUUUUGGUUCAGGUGGGCUACACAUCAUCCAUCUUAAUGCGAACAGCCUCCCGGGAAAUAAACUCAUCCAAAUCAGAGAAAUGUUCCACAACAAUAAGGUAAAAAUCCUGUGUUUCUCCGAAACUAAAUGAGAUGAAAGUGUUUCUGACUCAGAGAUAGAGAUAGAAAACUUCUCGGUCAUCAGAAAGUACAGGAAUAAACAUGGUGGUGGUGUUUGUAUGUAUAUUCACCAGGAUAUUAAAUACAUAACUCGCUCUGAUCUCAACCACAAUGCCCUUGAAUCUGUGUGGGCAAAAGUCUAACUCACAAACGCUAAGCCGGUACUGAUAGGGACUGUAUACAGACCCCUAAUCAGAAUGAUUUCUAUGGUGCUAAGCUGGUCUAGACAACGUGGAGAAAAUUGUAAGUGGAGAUCUGAACACAGAUGUUCAACGCAGAGAUGUGCCUGUCUUCAAAUCUUACAGCAAACUCUGUAAUCUGCACGCUCUUUCCCAGCUAAUAACACUCCCCACACAGGUGUGUGAUUCCACCCAAUCAACCAUAGAUCUCAUCCUCACAUCAGAUCGGCAUAAUAUUAAAAAUAGUGGGGUCAUGAUCUGUGAUCUUAGCGACCACUAUAUAACCUUCUGCACGUGCAAAAUAAGUAAACCUAAAGCCAAUGGCCACAUAACAGCUCAAUCCAGAUCCCUUAAAACAUACUCCAGUGAUAAUUUCAACCUCAAAUGAGGUGAGUGGGACUGGUCCCCUGUGCUCAUGAGCAACCUGGUUGAAGAUGCUUGGGAUCGCUUCAAAACAGCGUUCCAAGCAAUACUAAAUGAUAUGGCUCCUGUGAGAACAGUCAGGAUCAAAGCCCGCUCUGAAGCAUGGAUCAAUCCAGACCUAUUAGCUCCCAUAAAAGACAGAGCCAAAAUACUUCAAAUACCAAAAGUGUAAAACCAAAGUAAAUAAAGAACCCAAUAAUAAUAACCUCUAAUCACUCCUUUCAACGCUCAAAAAGCAAUGCAAUAAAUUAAGAAAUAAGACAAUCAACCGGGCUAAAUCCUUAAAAAAAAUAUCAACGACAAAAUAGAGGAAAACACAAAUAAGCCACGUGAGCGCUGGAAGACUCUCAACAACCAGCUUCCCGGAUGCAGCCAGAAACUUAAAACCAGACUCACCAACAUCAACAUCAAGGAGGGUGACGCCCUCAUUACAGACAAAAUGGAGGUAGCAAGCAGACUUAACAGCUUUUUCACCAGCAAAGCCACGACUCUCGUUAACAAGCUGUCCCAUCACUUUGGUCGCUUUGGUGUAGAAAACAUUAAAGCCUUCUACAGAAAGCUAGGAGUAAUCAACAACAAUUUCAAAUUAGAAAUGGUCUCAGUUAACGAGGUGCUUAAUAAUUUGAGCGUGCUCCACCCAAACAAGGCCACAGGCCUUGACAAUAUCCCCUCUAGAUUCCUCAUUGACUCUGCCAACACCAUUGCCCCAAUAAUCACACACAUAAUAAACCUCUCAAUCAAACAAGGCCAGGUACCGAAGGAUUUCAAGAUAGCAAGAGUAAACCCCCUUUAUAAAAAAGGAAGCAAAUUAGAACCUGGUAACUACCGACCUGUUUCUAUUCUCAGUUCCAUUUCAAAAGUAAUGGAAAAAAUAGUUUAUGAACAGGUUGAUAGAUACCUUGCUACUGAUAAACUAAUGGACAAAUUCCAAUCCGGCUUCAGAACUAACCACUCCACUGACACAUGCCUUCUCUAUCUGACCGACCACAUCAAACAUGAGGUGGACGCGGGCAAAUACUGCGGUAUUGUCAUGCUGGACAUUCAGAAGGCCUUUGACACCGUUAACCACGCUAUACUGUUGGAUAAGCUCAGAGCAAUCGGAUUCCAUAAAACCUCAUGGAGCUGGAUGCAAUAAUACUUGGAGGGGACGAAACAGGUGGUAGAGAUGAACGGCACCGUGUCCCCUCCCCUCUCAGUAAGCUGUGGAGUCCCCGAAGGCAGUAUACUAGGACCUUUACUGUUCCUAAUAUACAUUAAUGACAUUCCAUCAGCAUGCCACUGUGAAUUGUUCCUGUUUGCGGAUGACUCGGCCCUGCUGGUAUCCGGCAAGGACAAGUCACAGGUGGAACAAAUCCUCAGAGCUGAACUCCUUAAAGGGGAACAUUAUCACAAAUUCAAAAGGGUUAAAAACAAUAAAAAUCAGUUCCCAGUGGCUUGUUGUAUUUUUUGAAGUUUUUUUCCAAAUUUUACCGGUGCCGGAAUAUCCCUAAAAAAAAGCUUUAAAGUGCCUUUUUUUUGCUCUCCGCGAAGACACUAUCCAUUUUCCUGUGACGUCAUACAGUGCUGCCAAUCUAAACAAACAAUGGCGAAUACCACAGCAAGAUAUAGCAACAUUAGCUUGGAUUCAGACUCGGAUUUCAGCGGCUUAAGCAAUUCAACAGAUUACGCAUGUAUUGAAACGGAUGGUUGGAGUAUAAAAGUAUUGAAGAAGAAACUGAAGCUAUUGAGCGAAUAGCUAUUGACGCUAUUCAUAGCCAUAGCAUGGCCGAAUAGCUGCGUUAGCGUCGCCGGUAAAAUGUGCGGACCAAACGAUCAGGACUUUAGCAUCUUGUGACACUGGAGCAACUUAAAUCCGUCGAUUGGUAAGUGUUUUUUUCGCAUUAAAUGUGGGUGGAAGGAAACGUAAUAUAGUUGCAAAUGCAUCUGGAGGUUAUCCAUACAUCUCUGUGCCAUGUCUGCUUUAGCACCGCUGGUAAAUAGCAUGUUAGCAUCGAUUAGCAUGGCAUAUUAGCAUCAAUUAGCUGGCAGUCACGCCGCGACCAAAUAUGUCUGAUUAGCACAUAAGUCAACAACAUCAACAAAACUCACCUUUUGUGAUUUUGUUGACUUAAUCAUUGCAAAUGCAUCUGCAGGUUUUGCAUACAUCUCUGUGCCAUGUCUGUCAUCGCCGGUAAAAUGUGCAGACACUCCGGCACAUUCAAUGGGGGUCUGGCGGCAGAUUUCUUGCCACUUUCGCAUCUUUGGGCAGGUGGUGCAACUUGAAUCCCUCCCUGUUAGUGUUGUUACACCCUCCGAGAAACACACCAACGAGGCAUGAUGUCUCCAAGGUUCCAAAAAAUAGUCGAAAAAACGGAAAAUAACAGAGCUGAGACCUGGUGUUUGCAAUGUGUUGAAAAUGAAAAUGGCGGCUGUAUUACCUCGGUGACGUCAUCGCCAAAAGAGCCAUAAACAGAAAGGCGUUGAAUUCGCCAAAAUUCACCCAUUUAGAGUUCGGAAAUCAGUUAAAAAAAUAUAUGGUCUUUUUUCUGCACCAUCAAGGUAUAUAUUGACGCUUACAUAGGUCUGGUGAUAAUGUUCCCCUUUAAUAUUUGCACCUGGCUCGCUGACAACAAGCUAUCCAUACACUUAGGUAAAACGGAAUCCAUCCUAUUUGGGUCCCAUAUCAACCUUAAGAAAGUCAGUGACGUCACUAUAAAAGUGGGUGACAUUGCUAUCACCAGGAAAGAUGAGAUCACCUUCUCUCGGUUCCAUUCUAGAGGCUAAUCUUUCCUGUGAUGAAAUGGCAACCAAGGUAAUCAAAAAGGUCAACCAAAGAACGAGAUUCCUCUACAGAAUCUCCUCUCUGGUCAACAAAAGCACCUUCAAGAUUCUAGCAGGAACUCUCAUUCAACUCUUUUUCGGUUACGGUUGCACCUCCUGGUACCCCAGCACCUCCAAAACCCUCAAAUCUAGACUCCAAACACCCUAGAAUAAGCUAGUCCGGUUACUUUUAAACCCCCACCCCAGAUCACACCUCACUCCAACCCACUUCUCCAAAGUGGGCUGGCUCAGGGUGGAGGACAGAGUAAAACAACUUGUACUGAGCCUAGUCUAUAAAAUCCGCUACACCUCCCUGAUUCCGAAGUACAUGUCAAACUACUUCCUUAACGUACAUGACCGCCAUAACCACAACACCAGGGGGAGCUCCACAAACCACGUUAAACCCAGAUUCCGAUCUAACAAAGGUCUUAACUCAUUCUCUUUCUAUGCCACAUCAAUGUGGAAUGCACUCCCAACAGGUGUAAAAGUAAGUGCAUAUCUAUAUUCCUUUUUAAAACCGCUCUAAAACAACACCUCCAGGCAACUUCCACCCCUUUACCUUUCCUCCAUUCACAUCCCAUCUCCCUGGAUUAUAAAUAACCUAAUGUUAAUAAUCAAAUGUACUUCUAAUGUAUUUACUUGCUCUUAUGCUAUCUGAACUCACUAUGUUCUCUGCUCGCUGUAAAUAUCCUACCAAGUAAGACCUACACUGUUUCUAUGUCCAUUUCUCUGUUGAUGCAAUUGUUGAUGACUGAAGUACUGAUAUCAACCAAAGCUCCUCAUCCCACCCCCCGGAUUGUAAACAAUGUAAAUAAUUCAAUGUAUAUACUAUGAUGAUUAACCUGUGUGAUGACUGUAUUAUGCUGAUAGUAUAUAUUUGUACCAUGAAUGAAUUAACGUUGACCCCGACUUAAACAAGUUGAAAAACUUA